rnacentral:lncRNA from 1 species
AGAUCAAUAGGAGAUAAUUCUUGAGGUCAAUGAUUGUGAAUCAUUGUCAACCUGUCAAUCCUAUCUCCUUAGUAAGAUGACCAAAUCACUUUUUGCUGGAAAAGGUAAACAAGCCAAUGAUGUUCUGAAUCUAAAACAUACUGAUGUAUUGGAUCUACAAUCAUGUUUGUCAUAAAUUUAAAUUAUUUAAAAUAUUCAAAUAAGUUCAUAAUAAGGUAGAGAAACAAACUUGGAAGAGCAUUGAAAAUUUUCGAUC